UCUUUCCUUCUUCUGUUUCUCCCAUCUCCAUAGAUUUUGGUGAUUUUUCCGCGUUUUAGUUUUCAAUAUUUCGAACUCUGAGCUAAAAGUACUUUUAUUUGCAUAUUUUUAUGUAUGAUGAUCACAGAAGAAAUGUGAAAACUGCUACGUAUUAUUGAGGUCUCAUCUCAGCAUGUUGUUAACGCUCAUGAACUAAAGGAGAUGAUGUAGCGAUAGGGCUUGCUUGUUGGAUUAUAUGGGUAACCAUGUGUUAAAAUCACUCUUCUAUCCGCGGUUUUAGAAUGGAUUUGCUAUCUUAUAUUACAUCUGUACUUUAGUAUUAAGGUAAAUACUUGCUAGCUUAGGAAAUGUAAAAUCUGAUGCUUAUACCAUUAGUGGCAUUGCUUCUAUGGUGAAAUUGGUUGCUUUGUAUAUCGCAAAACAGCAAUAUGUGUGUUGGCCGGGACUGUCCAUCUGAGUUUGUCUGCACAGCACAGCAUUAAUAUGUUUAUUAUUUUCUCAACUUGUAAUUCUUCUUUUUAGCUUGUUACAGUUUUGAGCAUAAUUUUAGGAUGUAGAUGAUAAUGAAGCAUAAGGAUUAGUGAGUGUUUUUCAUCCCAUAUUAAUUUUUGGAAGAUCUUUAUGUAUCAUAUUUGGUUACCUGAAUGGGAUCCUUUCAGAUGAUUCUUUGCAGCUAUUGAUGUUCUGCUUUUCAGUUUUUUUUUUUAUUUUAUUUUUAUUUUUUUUAUAUAUCACUUAUUGAGAGUAAUGAAGAGUACAUUUAUCAUCUCAUUAUCCUUUUCUAUAUGUUAUAUUUUUUCAAUAACAUGUUAGGACUACUCAUCAAGUUUCCAUCUAGAAUUGCAAAUUAGGACAAUGCAGACUUUGGCUCAGUGAAUAUUUCAUGCUUUUUUUUUCCCUUAUAUUUUUAUUCAGACAUCCAUUUUGUCUUUUCUU